AUUUGGGUGAAGAAAACACAUCUUAUGAGUCACGGUUGGAUGUUCUCUGCCCGAUCAUCAACUCCUUUCAUGGCAGCUGAGGAGCUAUCUGACUGGUAGUCUGGAAAGAAUAACCUGGACAAGCUGAGCUGCGCCUGGCUCUCCUAUUUCCUUUUGGGAGUGACCUGUCUACUGAGAGUCUGAGAUUUCCUCUACUCCUCAAGCCCUAAGCCUUAAUUUGACAUCCCCCCAGCGUGUGGACCCCUGCCCCAGCCCAGAGUGGCCUGAGACUGAGCAACCCGUCUGCCUCCUUCUGGGGCUCAGGUGGAAGCCCAGUUUGUCUCUCAUUCCACUCUGUCGUCUCACCUGGCUUCCCUCGGGCACAAAGGAAACGGCAACUGGGAUCAGACAAUGGGAUUUUGAAGGAAAACAUGAGAGGCUGAUAUUUCAAUUGUGACACGGGACCUUAGGACAAUCUUCUACGCUUCCUCACCGCAGAGGGGCCAGCCAUCUCUCGAAGCCCUUCAGCACCUGCUCGUCUUCUCUGAAACUUCAAGAUGGAGAAUAGACUGCGAUUUGUUGAUCAUCUCCCCUAAGCGGGACGUUCACAUUGAUUUUAGUUUCUGGCUACUGUGAAGAAGUACAGACACACCCUCCAAGUUGACACCAGUGGCCAGGCAAAUGGAAUCAGGAGUCAGGCACUGGGAAAGAAGAAAGAAGGGCAGGAGCAGAACCCAGAAGACCGGAAUUAACGCCCAGAACUGGGCUCUGGGGACAGCACGGCAGGAGGCAGCUGCUGAAGACUGGAGGAAAGGGUAAGAGACAGCUCCAAGAGAAUGGGCCAAAAGGUCAAGACCAGCCACCAACAGGUGCGGUUGCUAAGGUUGGAGUGGGAUGUGAAGCAGGAUCAACCCGAGGGCUGCAAGAUGGGGUCCUUGCCUGCGGUGAGAAUUGUCCCCAGAGCAGGGGCAGGUAGAGAGCAAAUAAGCCCACCUCCUGGCUCGGAUGGACGUGAGGACAGGGUGCCAAGUAAGCCGUGAACGUGCCUUCUUCCUAUGUCCAUCCAUGACUCUGGUUUGGUCCGAAAAGUGCAAGCGGAAAGACUGAGGUCUGUACCUGUUUGUCCUGGGCAGCUGUCACCAGAAAGUGGACUGGAUCGGCAUUGAAGUCUUCCCAUCAGUAAUCGAUAAUUAAACACCUAUGAUAAGCAAAGCAUUAAGCCAGGGCUGAGGACUUCCAACUCAUCAUUUUAUUCAUUCAUUCCACAAAUAUUCACUGAGCAUCUUCUCUUACCAGGCCCUGUUGUGGGUGCAUGGGACAUGGCGGUGAGCAAAAUGAAGAUUCACCAGGAGCUGCAGCGCAGUGGAGGGUGACGAUAAGAAGCAGUCAAUAUCUUAAAUGAAUCCACUUAUAGCAAAUGGACUAAAUAUAAAGUACAGCGGAGUAACAAGAGUGUAGGAGUCACUUUGAGAAAGUGACACUUGAACGCAUUCUAAAAGGAGGUAGGGAAGUAGGCCACUGCUAUACCGAGUUAGGGCAUUUAGGCAGAUUCAACAGCCGGUGCAAAGGCCCUGAGGCAGGAGCAUGCUGGAGGUCUGGCAGGUGGCAAGUGGUGGGCGGGGAGGUCACAAAGGUAAAGGGGACCAAACCACACGGGGCCUUAAGGGGCGUCACAAGAGUUGUGACUUUCACUCCCAAUGCCACGAGGAGCCAUUGGAGGGUUUUGAGCAGAAGAG